GCGGGAGGAGAAUGGUCUGAAGU
rnacentral:piRNA from 1 species